GGGCCCGUAGCUUAGCCUGGUGAGAGCGCCCGACCAGUGAAAAUUGGGGCGAAGCUCAUAACCGGGUGGUCAAGGGUUCAAAUCCCUUCGGGCCCA
rfam:Candidate divison MSBL1 archaeon SCGC-AAA261G05 AAA261G05_Contig_49, whole genome shotgun sequence.